AUGGCAGUGCAGCAGUGCACGGUGGCGCUCUUCGUGGCCGUCGCCAUCGUGGCCGGGUCAGCCAUCUCGUACGCUGCCGAAGCCGGCCACGCCCCGGCUGGGGCACAACCCAAGGCCACAACCGAGGAGCAGAAGCUAAUUGAGAAGGCCAACAAUGCCUUCAAGGCGGCCGUGGCGGCCGCAGCCGUGGUCCCUCCAACAGACAAGGACAAGUGUUUCCAUACCACCUUCAUCCAGAACUUUGGCGACUGGUCACUCGACGGGUUCACCAACGCGUCCAGCACCAACGCCAGUUUCAGCACCAGGGUCUCCUUCGCUCAGGUGGCGGCCUCCAAGAUCGCCCAGGGCGCUACCCCGGAGGCCAAGUACGACUCCUUCGUGGCCAUUUUCGGCGAGUCGCUCCGCAUCAUCGCCGGCAUCCUUGAGGUCCACGCCGUCAAGCCCGCCCGCGAGGAAGUCAAGGGGCCGAUCCCUGCCGGGGAGCUCAAGGCCAUUGACCAGAUCGACACCGCCUUCAGGACUGCAGCCACCGCCGCCGAUGCUGCCCCAGCCAAGGAUAAGUCCACUGUCUUUGACUCCGCCUUCAGCAAGGCCAUCAAGGAGACGAUGGGCGGUGCAUACGAGGCCUACAAGUUCGUCCCCGCCCUCGAGUCCGCCGUCAAGAAGACCUACGCCUUUUUUGUUCCUGAUAGGCCCCAGGACAAGAACAUGGUCUUUGAGAACGCCCUGACCGACACCAUCAUCGCCCUGGCCUCCGCGGCCGCCGCCCCCGCCCCCACUCCCGCCGCCGCCCCCGGUGGCGACAAAGUCUGA
rnacentral:rRNA from 1 species